UAGGGAAUCUUCCACAAUGGACGAAAGUCUGAUGGAGCAACGCCGCGUGAGUGAUGAAGGGUUUCGGCUCGUAAAACUCUGUUGUUGGAGAAGAACGGGUGUCAGAGUAACUGUUGACAUCGUGACGGUAUCCAACCAGAAAGCCACGGCUAACUACGUGCCAGCAGCCGCGGUAAUACGUAGGUGGCAAGCGUUGUCCGGAUUUAUUGGGCGUAAAGCGAGCGCAGGCGGUUUUUUAGGUCUGAUGUGAAAGCCUUCGGCUUAACCGGAGAAGUGCAUCGGAAACCGGGAGACUUGAGUGCAGAAGAGGACAGUGGAACUCCAUGUGUAGCGGUGAAAUGCGUAGAUAUAUGGAAGAACACCAGUGGCGAAGGCGGCUGUCUGGUCUGCAACUGACGCUGAGGCUCGAAAGCAUGGGUAGCGAACAGGAUUAGAUACCCUGGUAGUCCAUGCCGUAAACGAUGAGUGCUAAGUGUUGGAGGGUUUCCGCCCUUCAGUGCUGCAGUUAACGCA
rnacentral:rRNA from 1 species